CCCUUAGAUGUUCUGGGCCGCACGCGUGCUACACUGAGUGGAUCAGCGGGUCAGGUUGCGCGAAAGCGUUUCCUAAUCUUUAAAUCCGCUCGUGAUGGGGAUUGUCGGUUGCAAUUUUCUGUCAUGAACGAGGAAUACCUUGUAAGCGCGGGUCAUCAUCCCGCGCUGAAUACGUCCCUGCCCUUUGUACACACCGCCCGUCGCUCCUACCGAUUGAGUGGUCCGGUGAGGCUUUGGGAUCUGAGCGGAAAGAGCGUUUCGCUGUUUCUGCUCGGAAAACUCAGUCGAACCUUAUCAUUUAGAGGAAGGAGAAGUCGUAACA
rnacentral:rRNA from 1 species